CGCAGCUACAUAGUCCUGGGAUAAAGAGCUGAGGGUUCAAGACAUGGAUUAAGCCAUAUGGUGCCUUUGUGAAAGGAGCUUUGUGACAGUAGAAGGGAAUAAAAAGACUGGUUUACUUAGCACGUCCAGGCAGCUAUUAUGGGAAGUCAAGAGCUACACCUCCAGUUAAAGGUGUAAGGCUGGAAAUGAACCAACUUCGAUGCUGGACACACAAACCUGACUCAUUCACACCAAGGGCACGAAGUAGAAAAUGGCCG